GGGGUCUUGGGCUAUACGACAGUUUGAGAAGGCCUCUGGAAGCAAGCCUCUGAAAAGUGGUCCUCCAGGAAGGAGCCUCCAAGUCCCUCAUCACAGUGGUCCAUGUUAAGGAUACAAAUCCUCAUGGAGAAGAUAAAAGCAAUCCUUCAGCAGAAUCCGGACAGGAAUAUGAAAGAGAACUCGACGAUACUAAUCUUCUACUACCACCAGCAGAAUAAAAAGAAGAAUGAAAACAGGCCAACGGCGGAUGAAGAAACCCUGGUGGAUUCUUCCAACACUUCUCCUGACAAUUCUCCAAGUAAGCCCCUGUGCCCACCUGGAGCCCAAGAUGCUGAGGCAUCUACUGUAACUCCAGGAAAAGCAAAGGCAGAAUAGUCGUUUGUGCAGGGAUCAAACAUACAACGAUGGUCCCCGCUGGACAGACCAAAGUACGCAGAUGUUGAUGAUUAAAGUACCAACAAGCAGGAAAAAGAU
rnacentral:lncRNA from 1 species